GGGUCAUUUAUUUUCGGCGUUGGGUUAUUUUUAGUUAUAACCCAACUGUUGGGUUAAAUAUGGUUCCCGCUUCACUCCGGUUCAAAUUUUAACGGUCCAGUCAGCGACUCAGUGGACAUCAGCGGCAACCUGCCUGAUUAUGAAAGAUAAAUGGAUUUCUUUGUAAAGAAAAGAUUACAACAGCGGAACCUCUGCAAUUUAAUAGAAACAUUUCAAGGUUGGUACUAAUAUGGUCCACUACCUCAACAAUGAGACAAGCCAGGAUCCACAUGUCUUGGUGCUUGGAGACAAAGAAAAUUCCUCCCAAGUUUUCAUCAUUUUCAUUGGAGAGGCAGUUGAAAAGGAGUCCUUACUUCAAGCAGUGAAUGAAUGCUUCAAAAUGUUCUACAUCUAUGACGUAAACUACCCAAAGCCCUCUGCUCCAAUUUGGGAGUUCUUGCAGCAUGCAGUCUAUAAUAUUCCUGGAGGAGUUCCUUCUACACAUUGCUGCCUCCUAAAAAACUUUGUAUUCAAAGUUACUGAUCAUCAGUUGAUCCAGUAGCCAAAACACACCUUUAAGGGUUAGUUCACCCACAAAUGAAAAUUCUGUCAUUAAUCACCCUCAUGUUGUUCCAAACCCGCAAGACCUCCGUUCAUCUUUGAAACACAAAUUAAGAUAUUGUUGAUGCAUUCUGACAGCUCUCUGACCCUCCUAUGGACAGCAAGGGUCCUUACACCAUCAAUGUCCAGAAACUUAGCAAGGAGAUUGGUAAAAUAAUCCAUGUGACAUCAGGGGUUUAACUUUAACAGCAUACACUGUUUGCGUUGAGUGGAUACUGUCCAAAAUGGCACUAGGGUGACACGGAGGAGACAAAUUGUUGAAUAAACUCAUUAUUUUUUUUUCUUUUGCCCACAAAAAGUGUUCUCGUAUAAUAUUACGGUUGAACCCCUGAUGUCACAUGGAUUAUUUUACCAAUCCUUGCUAAGUUUCUGGACGUUGAGGGUGUAAGGACCCUUGCUGUCUAUGGGAGGGUCAAAGAGCUGUCAGAAUGCAUCAAAAAUAUCUUAACUUGUGUUCCAAAGAUGAACGGAGGUCUUACGGGUUUAGAACGACAUGAGGGUGAGUAAUUAAUAACAGAAUUUUCAUUUUUGGAAGAACUUUCCCUUUAAGGUGUUUAUAACACAAUGCAUAUGGUGACCACUGUAGCAUUUUUUAUUAAGGAUAUGUUUAUUUCUUGAAGUAUAAAGGUAUGUUCUUGGUGUACACAUUUGUGUAGUUUUUGGUAUACUGGUAUGUGCACAUUUGUGGUUUGAAUUUGUAUACCGUAUGUGCACAGAUGUUUAGGUUGUAUAUUUCUGUACUGUAUGUGCACAUCUGUAUUUUAAAAGCUUACUAUAUGUGCAUCUGUGUAGGUUUUGAAUUGGUAAACCAUAUGUGCACAUUUGUUUUGAAUAUUUGUACUGUAUGUGGAUAUUUGUGUUUUGAAUUUAACAUGUAUUUGAAUUUAUGUAUAUUGUUUGUGUAUAUUUGUUUUAAAUUUAAUGUGUAUUUUGAAUAUUU
ensembl:lncRNA